CAGCCAACAAACUGCCAGAGCGACUAUCGGCAGCGGUGCUAGCCCAGCAAGGCAGCUGUGACACCAGGCCAGGCCCUAGCGGCUCUGUCCCAGCCACUCGCACAGAUGUAUCUUGCAGCCAGCCCAGCUCAGGGAGCAGUGGUGACAGGUGAUCUCAUCCUGUCAAACCAAGCAACAUGGGUCUCAUUGAGGCUCAGAUGGAAGUUCCUAUGCAUCUUCUGGGGAGGAUGUGUCCAGGAUCCUGGAGACUGUUUCCUGCAGAAAGUUUGAGCGGAGAGAGAGUACUCAUUGUCAUGACCCAUGGGUCUUCAGCCCGGGUCUGCAGGGUUCACAGGAGCAGACACACUCCAGCCCUCCACCUGGGAGCCUGCUGACAAAUGCUUACCUAGGACCCAUGGAGUCCAGCCCCACUUUGAGGAUCCACCCCUGAGGCCUAUUGGUGGAGUCCCAGACUAGCUAAUUGACCCCCGGGCCCUCCUUAAGCCAGCAGCAGGAACAGGAAGCUGUCUGAACACCCAAGCACCUCCCUCUUCUGGACUGUGUGCUACCUGCUCCCGCUCCCCCGGCUUGAUUUCCUGGCAUCCAGACUCGGUGCGACUCGUGGCAUCCGAUGUGUGGUUCUGAUCACAAGUUUGUCUUUUACUUCGGACCUUCCAGUAUCCUGACCCAGCUGACACUCAACUCCUGUCUUGUGAGUGUGGACUCUGGCUCUGACCAUUAGGUCUGGCUGCCCCUGACCUGGCCGUGACACUGACUUUUGUACAAUUUCUCCAAUGCCCUUUUCUGCUCUCCAGCUCUGCUCCCUCCAGCAAGACACACCAAUCCCUUGGCUCCCAAAGUCCUGGUUGCCUGCUAUUCCAGGGCUGAGGGGUCGUGCUUGUAUUGCCCUCACCACAGCUGCUUUUCCUAUGGGAAUCUUCCUAGAGCAGAGGAGCAACCUACUGUAUUUUCCACUCCAUGCAUCUGAUGAAGUGGGUUUUAGCA